rnacentral:lncRNA from 1 species
CGCUUUGUUUUUAGCACCCAGUGGAAAAUCCAAAUAAGCUGUUGGAAGUACCUAACUGACAACCCAGAGUUCCGAUCAAUCUAAUAUAGUUUGCAGACUAAUUUAAAGGAUACAAUAUACUUUUUUAAACAAUUAAUAGCCAUCCAGAAACAGAUUCAAAUAUUACCAGAAUCAUUUUUAAAUUAUUCAGUUAUGCAACCUCAGCGUCACACUCACAGGCGUUAAUAAAGUCCAUUUGAGCAUUUUCCACCAGUUUAGGAAUUAUCACCGAGUCUUCUAGUCAGUGUUAGAGCGGCGAGGUGCUCAUCUUUUUGAAGUGUGGCGCCAAUUAAUACCAAAAAAUUAAAAUAUUUGAUUGCAUAUAUAAAUAAUCAAAAUCUCAAUAGCAAUAACAUAUUAGCAAAUAUUUCAAUACAAAACAAUACAACAACAACAACAGCAAACCCAGUAUAUUCCCACCUAGUGGGGUCUGGGGAGGGUAAAAUGUACGUAGUCCAUACCACUACCUCCCGGGAAGUAGAGAGGCUGUUUCCGAUAGACCCCCGGUUCAAGAAAAAAAGACAAAGGACAAAAACGUCAAAAGCGUGCAACAGGAAUAAAAUAACACAACAAUAAAGUACACAAACAGACAAUGGACCCCCUUUCCCCACCACUAGACAUUAUCCCUCUACCCUAAUGUUUUUCCUUCAUACUUUUCUAUCAAGGGUCAUGUCCUCAGGAAGCUGUAACUGCUCCAUGUCACAACUAAUUACGUCUCUCCAGUACUUCUUCGGUCUACCCUUCCCUCGCUUGAAACCAUCCAAGGCCAACCUCUCACUCCUACGAACAGGGGCAUCCGUGCCCCUUCAAUACGAAUGCCCCUUCAAUACAAAACAAUACGGUAUUAAUUAGUAUAUUUUAAACAAUGUAACUGAAGUAUUAAACUAGAAAAAAGUUUUAAAACUUUAAGUUCAGAAACAGUGACGGACUGCGUCACUGUGAGAAAAAAAACAGAAGAAGAAGGAAAAGAAAAACAGAGUAUUGUUGCCGGAAAAGAAAUCAGAAGAAGAAAGAUGAAGAAAAAAAUCAGAAGAAGAGAAAGUAGAAGAAGAAAUCAGAAGCAGAAGAAAAACAAUAUGUACAGUUAAUUAUGGCUCGAGUAGUCGGAGAAGUCGCAGCAGUCAAUGAAGUGUGCAAAUAUGGACAGAAAACCCUAAAAUUACCCUUUAUAUAUUAAAACACUAAUUUUAAAGGCGAUGCCUUUCUCUACAUGUCAUCGCCUCCUCGAGUUGCCAUCGACACGAUGCUUAAAGCCGACACAGGCUUGUGUUGCCUCAUCUCUCGCUAUUGGCGACGAGGCAAUCGCCUUUCACGACACUCCUUGUAGUCAAUAAUUUCGAGAUGAUCUUAUAAAAGCUGCCAAUUAAGCUUAUUGGCCUAAAGUCGUAGAUCCACCACAUCAUUCUUUUUGGGAAUUAAUGCUAUGUUGGUAGCGUUGUUACAUUUUAGAAACCUCUCAUGGCAAUGGUAAGGAAACCUCCAAAGCUGCCAUUGUCUGCUCUGAUCACUGUCCAGCAACUCUGAUAUUAUUCCAGGGCAAAUCCAUCCGAAUCCGGUGCUUUAUCACUUGCUCAUUGUUUGGUGAUAUCCAAAUUUCAUCUUCUUUUUUUUUUUUUGAGUCAGAUCUCUUCCUCUCUGCUGAUUCUGGAAUAAUUUCUCAACUGAAAUCCAUGUCUCCACUCUUCACUUUCUGAAGAAAGAUUCUGGUAAUUCUCAAGAAUGUUCAUCUUGAUUUCUUCUGGAUCCUCCUCCAUUUAACCAUUAACUACCAACUUCACCAAUAUGGUUAACCCUUCUAGGCGCAUUUGCGGUUUUAUGGAAAAAUUUAUAUUUUUAUCCCCUUGCUUUGGCGACAAAUUCCUUGAUUUUUGCCUCCAUGUCUCAAUCUCUUCUACUUCCAUUAGUAUGUUAGCUCUGAGCAUCAAAUCUUCAUCAUGGAGAAUGUGAUUUUCCUGCUCCGUCCCUGUUGAAUUUGCUGUGUAAGCAGCUCAUUAUUUCUGAAUCCAAACUUCCAUAGUUGUGUUUAUUCCAGUUUCGAAGUUUCUACGUCAUCGGCUGUAAUGUUUUAGAUAGGACAAAGUCUGGUGUUCCGACAUUCUGGAAAUACUCCCACCAUUCUGUCUUUUUCGAUAAACCGUCCACCUAACCACCAAUUUUUUAAUUUGAAAUAUUAUCUUGACCUUUCUCGGUAUGACGAGUUGUAAAGGUACAUGAGCUGAAAAUACUCUUGGUAAAGUCUCGGUAAAGUCUCCUGCUUAAUCAUCCUAAAUUCAUCAUCCCAUUAAUUCAAAAACAAGAAUCUCUAUUCCUAAUGUGUGUCCCUGAUUGUCUGCAAACCAUGUGUGUUGUCCCCCAAUGGCUGGGAAUCAAUUAGUUCUAGCUCAUCUAUACAGUUAGAAAAUUCACCCAUUGAGCUUGUACGUGUUACAUUGUUUUUUUCUCGUGGAGCCAUAUCUCGUAGUAUUGAGAUCUCCAUAAACCACCCAAAUACCUUCACAAAGCCUCUGAUUGCUGCCAUUUCCCACUAUAAAUCCCUUCAACGCCCCCCUCAAAGCCUUGUCCCACAUCACCGGUAACAAGCUUCCAAGCAUUCAUAAUCCACCCACUAUGCUUCUUCUUUUGUCCAAUAAUCACUUCUGUUUCAUUCGGCUUUUGUGUUUCCAUGUGCUGCUCCUAGAACUGGUUGUAGUAUGUAAUUUACAGUAUAUAGUGGCUAACUUGUUCAAUUCAAGUUGUUCAGAUUGAUUGGUCAAGAAGAUAGGCUGCCCAAAGAUGGCAGGAUGACUUCUAAGAAAAUCAUACUUUCUUGUAAUUAUAGUGGAUUUCUGAUCCCCGUCACUGGCAGAUGGAGAUUUGUUUUCAUCUAAAAGAGAUACCCUUCUCGGCUUUUUGGCUAAGAUCAAGUGACUUUUUUAAUCUAAAAUUCGAGGUGCGGGGUCUCUAUAGUGUCAAGUCCGGUAAAAGAUGCGAAAACCUUACGUGCUACCUUUGACUCAUCCUACAUACAUGCCCAGAGAUUGCAAUUUUGCUUAACGACGAUAGUUCUCUGUAAAUAUCACAGCAUCUUCUCGCCGCUGGUUUUUACUAGGCGUGUUUCGACAUGAUUUGGUUGAAGUUUGAAAGGAGUAUUUGAAGUUGAAACCCAAAGUAUUGGAAACUUGAAGUUGUUGUUUGGACAUGAAAUUCACUUGGAGAAGUUGACGUCUGGGAGUGGACCAUUAUUUCGCAGUACUCUUCAAACCUCUUUUUCAAACUUAAAAUUGAAGUUGAAGUAAUGGACUAGAUUGUGAGGCAAAUAUUUGUUUAAAAUUAUCUCCAAAUAUUAUUUUCAUUUCUUCUCUAAAUAAAAUUUGAAGAAAGAAAUUACUUUGAACUAGUGUGUAUCGUGCUGAACAUGUAUUUCCAACUUCCCUCCUUUUUUAUUUUUGUUAUACCAAAAAAGACUAUAGAUGUUCGCCAGUCUCUCUUUCGUUUAUCUCAUCUUCUCUUGCUUGGAUAAUUCUCAGUACGAACUAAUUUUAUUGAGCUUGGAGACCAUUUACAUGCCAAAACCCCCAUAACUGCUGAGUAUAUUACGCUCCCUUAACUGCUUUGUUGCAUCUGACCUUUGACCUUUUCAUGGAACACUGUUUUGUAUGAGUAAUUAAAAAUAACUGUUUAUUUCUGUUACUUUUAAAAAAUGUGCUUUCUGUUUAUGCUUCAAACUUGCAUAUUAUACACUCUGAAAUUGUACAUUGAAAGAUUGUGUGCAAUUAAUGUUAUGUAUCUUCUUGUCAGACUGCUGUUGUAACUACAAGACGCGUCCUGGAAAGAUUGGCUGUCCAGUAUGUUUCACGACGCAUGGCAUGGAAGCUUCUUAAAGGUUUCCUUUUCUGUCUGCAAGCGUAAAUCUGUAGUCCUUGCUGAUUGACAUUGAGGAAGCCUAGCAUUUUUCAAUUUCUGCAGAUGUUCCCAAGUCAGCUGCACGCAAGGCUCAAAGGGGAAUGUCUAGUGUGACCUAUUUUUGCAGUGUUACAAAAACAACAUGCAGAGGUUUAACAUUAUCUGUUCAACACACUUCUCUUAUUUUUCACCUAGGCUAGCUACAAUUCUUGAUUCUUCAUCUCCCACAUGAUCAGGUCAUUCUCUGGGAGUUUUGGCAUCAUGGUUUGUGCAAGUUGGCAUUGAUAUGUGGCGAUUUUUCAAAUCUAAACAAGAUGAUGACACGCCUGAUAGAUCACAAAAAGUUAAGCUUCUAGGAAGGAAGAUUUCCAUAGUUACUGUCAGAUGUGGUGCAUCUCUUGUUUUCGCUUCUAUAGGGGCAGGGAUAGGGGCAAUGAUGUUUCGCCCUACAACUGGCCAGUGGAUUGGUAAGCUCACAAUAUGCUUUUCAGUAUCUAUAACGAACAGCAACUUUGCUAGAAGUAAUCAAAUUAUAAUUUUUCAGGAUGCGCUAUCGGAGAUGUGGCUGGACCAGUCAUUCUAGCCUUUUGCUUUGACAAAGUUCUUCAUAUUGAACUGUGAUGACUUUCUUCUUGGUCAUACAUCUAGGACAUGAUUAAUACAAGGGUAAUGUGGUUGAUCUAGAGCCUUCUCCCUCCCCCUUACCCACAAAAGAAGUGGCAAUCCAGUGCUUUUUUUUGACUUAGUUGAUUCCAUUAGCUCUGGAAUAUUAUUCGUCAUAGAUACAUUAACCAAUUUAUAACAUUAUGUUCUUUUUUUUCUGGAUUUUAUUUAUGCUUUCUGGUUCAUAAUGUCCUUCCUAUGGAUGGUCGUAGUUGGUCUGGUGAAUCAUUUGAUUUGUCGAUCAAUAAAGGAAAGCGUUUGCUUGGACAAGUCGCCGUCAAAGGUGCUUGUCAAUUAGGAGUAUUAAGGAACAAGCAUAUUUUAAUUAGAUGUUCCUUAUGGGAGGAUUUUGUAAGUGUAAUGACUAAGAACUCCUAUUACAUCAAGGAUAGGGAUAGUAAUAUUCGUUUCAGAUGCGGCCUUUAAUAGAUGACUCUAUAUCUAGAGUUGAUAGAGAGAACAUUUAAUGCCCUAAUCUAGCCCCAACUUUCUUUGUUAAAGAAAUCCUCUUUACACUUGCCUUAGCUCCAACUUUCUUUGCUAAAGAAACCCUCUUUACACUUGCCUUAGCUGUGGGGCAAACCGUUGUAUUUGGACAUCGAAACCAUAAACAAAACUCGACCCAACUGUGCUAGAGUGAAAGUUUUGGUGGACCUCAAAGCCAACCUUCCUAAAUUUGUUAACAUGGAGAUCUGCAAUGAAACUACACGAGCUAGUAGGAAUACACAAGUUAAAAUUCAAAUAUGAUCAUAUGCCUAAGUACUGUUUUUAGUGUAAAAUACUAAGGCACAUGAUGGAGAACUGGUAGUGAGAUAGUAGGUUCUCCACAAUAGCAAAAAAAAAAAGGAUUUCUUUUCCUCCGAAGAUAUUGACCAGUGGAAAGAUUGCUGGUGAUAAGUGUGGAUGAAAUUAAAAAUAAGAAGGUGGUCACAAUGGAUAGUAAGAAAAGCAAUUCUCAAGAUUUGCAUCAGCAAACUGAUACAGCCACAGAAAUCAACACACAACAAUUUUGCAACACAAACAGAAGAGGUGGAGAAUAUCAAUGCAAAUGAAGUUCAACAAAGCCCCACAAAGUCAAAGUGAAAAAAUAUGUACUCCCAUCCAGAAAAAUACUAAAUUCCAGGAAGCAGUAAUCAAAACUCUGUUCAAGGCACAAAGUUGAAAAAUUUGUUCAAAAACACAGAAGGUGUGGCAGACAAGGUGGUAGAUGUCCCAAAAGGAGGUGUGGCAGACAAGGUGGUAGAUGUCCCAAAAGGAGGUGUAACAGAACUUGCUUUAGUCAAUCAGUCCACUCCUAAAACUACUGGAUCUAGGAAAUGGGGUGAUAGAAGAAGAUGAUGGUGUGAAAAAAAGAGAACUGCAGGUGUCGGGUUAAAAGUAGGAAAAUAGAAUGAAAGAGUAGAUUAGGAGAAACGAGGUGAAAAUCAAGGAGUGGACAUGAACCUUAUGCAUAUUGAUGAGGUUUAGUCCAAAGAGAUCAAUAUUAGCUCCCAUGAACAUUGAUCCUAUUUAGGCUGUACAAAGUGAUUGGAAACAGGUGGAAAUAUACAAUGACCAUGAUAAUUUUGAUGAAAAGAUGGGAGUCUAAUUUGGAGAAGAUAACUGACUAGGGGAAUUUAAACUUGGAUCAAAUCAGUGAUCAGGAGAAUUCAAAUAAAGAACUGUCACCAAAUAGGAAGUUACAUGCUAUUGUAACUCUUGAUUUGAAUAUAGAGGAAUUAGCGGAACUCAACAAGGAGGGGAAGUUGAAAAUUGAAGGAAAUAAAAGUUAUCAACAGUUUGAUACUUCUCUAAAAUCAAGAUAAGGAAGGAGGAACAAAAAGCAUGAUGUCUUAGCAAAUAAAUUACCCUCAAGGGUAAUCACAAGAGGUGCUGCCACCAAAAUUAAUCAAAAACAAUGAUGAAAGCAUUUAUAUGGGACAUUAGAUAUGUUAAAAGUCAUCAAGAUUUUAAUAGAGUUCAAAUGAUUCAUAAGCAUCACAAAUUCAGUUACAUAGCUCUUUUAGAGCCUUUUCAAAGAUAUACUCAGAUGGGUAAGUACAAGAGAAGGUUAAGUAUGGAGCAGACAGGUAGAAACUACAAUGGUAAGAUCUAGUAUGUUAUAGAGGAUAAUAUUGGGGUAGAAGUGGUUACUGACUGACUAAUCGAUCACUUUGAAAUUAACAUUCCCUGACAACAUUUGUUACACUACUCUAGUCUAUGCCAAAUGAAUUAAAAGAGAAAGACUGAGUUUGUGGGAUUCUAUACACCAGCUAGCUAAUUCCAUUACUUUACCUUGGCUUGGUGGAGGAGAUUUCCAUGUGAUUAUGAAUGGAGAGGAGAAAAUUGGCGGUCUUCAUGUCCUUCCAAAUGAAUAUGAGGAGUUUGCAUUUUUAUUGAACUCUUGUGAACCCUUUGAAACUGUUUUCAAAUGAAUAUGAGGAGUUUGCAUUUUUAUUGAACUCUUGUGAACCCUUUGAAACUGUUUUCAAAGUCCCCUUCACAUGGUGGAAUGGUAGAGCUGGUCCCAACUGUACUUUUAAGAGAUUGAAUAGAAUAGUAAUAAAUCAACAAUGACAAGAUUGGUUUGAAGAUGUGGAGGUGGAGCACUUGGCCAGAAUUGGGUCUGACCAUAUGCCCCAAUGACGAUUACUAUGAAGAAAAACAAGCAACAGUUUUAUAAACCCUUCAAAUUCUUGGCUUUCUGGAUAAAAAAUGAAGGGUUCAUGGAUAUUGUGAGAACCAAUUGGAAUGUUGAAGAAGGAAAUUCCUUUUACAGGUUCAUUUAAAAAAGAGAGAAGUAUGAUUACCCUGAA